GUGGAGACAGAGGGAGAGAGAGAUGGAGAGAUGAAGGAGAGAGGUGGAGACAGAAAAAGAGAGGGAUGAAGAGAGAAGUGGAGAGAGAGGGAGAGAGGUGGAGACAGAGGGAGAGAGGGAUGGAGAGAUGAAGAGAGAGGUGGAGACAGAGGGAGAGAGGGAUGGAGUGAUGAUGAGAGAGGUGGAGACAGAGGGAGAGAGGGAUGAAGAGAUGAAGGAGAGAGGUGGAGACAGAGGGAGAGAGGGAUGGAGUGAUGAUGAGAGAGGUGGAGACAGAGGGAGAGAGGGAUGAAGAGAUGAAGGAGAGAGGUGGAGACAGAGGGAGAGAGGGAUGGAGUGAUGAUGAGAGAGGUGGAGACAGAGGGUGAGGGGGAUGGAGAGAUGAAGAGAGAGAGGGGUGGAGAGAUGAAGAGAGAGGUGGAGACAGAGGGAGAGGGGGAUGGAGAGAUGAAGAGAGAGAGGGGUGGAGACAGAGGGAGAGAGGGAUGGAGAGAUGAAGAGAGAGGUGGAGACAGAGGGAGAGAGGGAUGGAGAGAUGAAGGAGAGAGGUGGAGACAGAGGGAGAGGGGGAUGGAGAGAUGAAGAGAGAGAGGGGUGGAGAGAUGAAGGAGAGAGGGAUGAAGAGAUGAAGAGAGAGAGGGGUGGAGAGAUGAAGGAGAGAGGGAUGAAGAGAUGAAGAAAGAGAGGGGUGGAGAGAUGAAG
ensembl:lncRNA